rnacentral:misc_RNA from 1 species
CCGAGUUUACAACUCCCAAACCCCUGUGAACAUACCUAUACGUUGCCUCGGCGGAUCAGCCCGCGCCCCGUAAAACGGGACGGCCCGCCCGAGGACCCCUAAACUCUGUCUUUAGUGGAACUUCUGAGUAAAACAAACAAAUAAAUCA